UCAGAAGAUACAUACGAAUAUAUGAAUUUCCAAUCUGUUUUGGAAAGUGGCGUAACCAAAACUCCUAUGGAAUAUUCCGAAUAUAUUGAUAACUUUGAUUGCUCAUACUUUGACAAUCAUCCGAAAUCAUUUACCAGAACUACAAUUUAUCCAAUAGUUGACAAUUGUCAAACUGUUGAAACAUCAGCUUCCACUGCAAAACCAGCAAUGACUCUGGAUGAGUUAAUGAAUGUUUUGAUGAGUCCAGUUAGUUUACCCCGAACACCAGAAACCCCCGAAAGGUUUUCACCUACUUCAUCGGUGCCUAAAGAAAAGAAAGUCAAAGUAUUGGAUCAGCAAGUUUUUUAUUUGCCUGAAUCAACUUUCAAAAAAGAUUCAAAAAAAAGAAUUAACCAGGAUGCUUUCUACGAAAACAAUUGUCAAAACAAGAGACGUUGUCGAACUACAUUUUCCACACAACAACUUUCCAUUCUAAGUUAUUACUUUGACCAAGAUGAAUAUAUAAGUAAUGCUGACUUAACUAAUCUAUCAAAACAACUAAAUGUAGAAGAACGAAGAGUUAAGGUUUGGUUCCAGAAUCGCCGCAAUAAGAAAAAAUCAAAAACACAAAAAUCUUAAAAUGUUAAUCUUAAAAUUGUUAUUUAUGUACAAUAAUAUUGA